rnacentral:rRNA from 1 species
GAUGAACGCUGGCGGCGUGCCUAAUACAUGCAAGUCGAGCGAACAGACGAGGAGCUUGCUCCUCUGACGUUAGCGGCGGACGGGUGAGUAACGCGUGGAUAACCUACCUAUAAGACUGGGAUAACUUCGGGAAACCGGAGCUAAUACCGGAUAAUAUAUUGAACCGCAUGGUUCAAUAGUGAAAGACGGUUUUGCUGUCACUUAUAGAUGGAUCCGCGCCGCAUUAGCUAGUUGGUAAGGUAACGGCUUACCAAGGCAACGAUGCGUAGCCGACCUGAGAGGGUGAUCGGCCACACUGGAACUGAGACACGGUCCAGACUCCUACGGGAGGCAGCAGUAGGGAAUCUUCCGCAAUGGGCGAAAGCUUGACGGAGCAACGCCGCGUGAGUGAUGAAGGUCUUCGGAUCGUAAAACUCUGUUAUUAGGGAAGAACAAAUGUGUAAGUAACUAUGCACGUCUUGACGGCACCUAAUCAGAAAGCCACGGCUAACUACGUG